UACGGGGGGGAGCAAGCGUUGUUCGGAUUUACUGGGCGUAAAGGGCGCGUAGGCGGUCAGCACAAGUCAGUUGUGAAAUCUCCGGGCUUAACUCGGAAAGGUCAACUGAUACUGUGCGACUAGAGUGCGGAAGGGGCAACUGGAAUUCUUGGUGUAGCGGUGAAAUGCGUAGAUAUCCUAAGGAACACCGGUGGCGAAGGCGGCAUCCUGGACCGGUAUUGACGCUGAGGCGCGAAAGCCAGGGGAGCAAACGGG
rnacentral:rRNA from 1 species